GACGAACGCUGGCGGCGUGCUUAACACAUGCAAGUCGAACGGAAAGGCCCUGCUUUUGUGGGGUGCUCGAGUGGCGAACGGGUGCGUAACACGUGAGUAACCUGCCCUUGACUUUGGGAUAACUUCAGGAAACUGGGGCUAAUACCGGAUAGGAGCUCCUGCUGCAUGGUGGGGGUUGGAUAGUUUCGGCGGUUGGGGAUGGACUCGCGGCUUAUCAGCUUGUUGGUGGGGUAGUGGCUGACCAAGGCUUUGACGGGUAGCCGGCCUGGGAGGGUGACCGGCCACAAUGGGACUAAGAGACGGCCCAGACUCGUACGGGGGGCAGCAGGGGGGAAUAUUGCACAGUGGGCGGAAGUCUGAUGCAGCAGCGCCGCGUGCGGGAUGACGGCCUUCGGGUUGUAAACCGCUUUCGCCUGUGACGAAGCGUGAGUGACGGUAAUGGAUAAAGAAGCACCGGCUAACUACGUG
rnacentral:rRNA from 1 species